rnacentral:tRNA from 1 species
UAGCCCAGCUGGUCAGCGCGCCUCGCUCACAUCGAGGAGGUCGGGGGUCUAGCCCCUCCAUCCCCACCA